rnacentral:lncRNA from 1 species
UAAAUUUGUAAAAUAUCAUUUUACACUUUUAAAAAAAUUAAAAAUUCUCUCAUCACAUCACUCACAAAUUUUCAUAAGUUUUCUUCACACAUUCACUCUACCAUACUUCAAUCCAAACAACCUCACUUUCUUUACACUUUUAUCCUUACACAUUCAUUCUCUCAAAUCCUCACGCAUCCCCACCCAAAUCCAAACACACCCCAAGCCCCUGUUUGGAUUGGGGGGUGGCACUGUAGCCGUAGACGGAUGUGGAGUGCCACCCCCGUUUGGAUCUGGUCAUGGUUGAGGGUGUGGGUGAGGGUGAGGUGAAAGUUAGGCCAAAUGAGAGAGCAUUCAGAAGUGAAGAGAAAGGAGAGGGUGAGGGAGUGAGUGCCAUGUAGGAUGGAGUGAAAUAUCAUUUGUGCCCUCACUUUAUUUUUGGACGUAUGUGGGCAUUGUACGUGAAGCAUGCAUGCGCAUCUGUGAAGACAAGCUUUUCAGCAGCAAAUGAGAUUCCUGAACAAGUCAGGAAUCUGUUUGACCAAGUUCAAAGCUCAAUAAAUGCAUAGGCAAGUUGGUGAGAGAGGGUAAUAAAGAGCUCCAACAAUAUAUAUGUGGUUCCCAAGCUCACAAAUCUCACAAACCUCACAAAGCAGAGACAAUUCGGUUGUUCACAAAGCACAUACAUAGAGAGCUUGGAGAGGGUCGUGAGUGCGCUUGAUUCUUCGUUUGUGACCUCAGGUGAGCUGUGUGUGAGUUUGGUUUCAUUCUUAAUCGAUUAUCACUGAAAAUGAGUGUAUGCCAUAAUCGAUUAUGUGGAAAAAAAUAGUUCAUAAUCGAUUAUGUUCAUCACAUAAUCGAUUAUGUGUAAAAAAUUUCCGUGAGAUAAUCGAUUAUGGUCGUUUUUGCACUAGAAGCAUAAUCGAUUAUGUGCCAUAAAGAUUUGGAUAAUCGAUUAUGUCCUAUUUUGCACUAGGGUGAUAAUCGAUUAUGGUUCUAAUUUUCCAUAUUUAUGAUUUUAUGUUUUUUGAACUAAUUUUUUAAUGAUUUUUUUUCCAUACACAGUUUGAUCAAUCUUAGACUUGCAUUGUGUUGCGGUUUUGUUAUGCUCUCUUGAGAUAUGUGUUUUUUUUUUGGAUGUUUAGUUUUAUUUUGAAUUUAAUCUGUUUAAAUUAUUUUAAAGUAGUUGUUAA